UAACUGCGGUGCGUCAUAUGGCAUGAUGUGCAGCCGAUUGUUCCAUAAAACCUAAACUAAAAGAAAUAGUGAAUACCUCUGCAAGGUUUUGGCCAGUUUGGGUCCUUUAUGACGUAUGCUUUGAGCUUAGUUAAUAUUUACUGUCUUCACUACUUUGGCAAGCGCACGACUAAAGUACGGUCCCUCGUAACUAAAGUGUUAAAAGCAUGGUUAAAUGUAUACUUGUGACUUUUUAAGCGAGCCACGUGGUGUGUAGGCCAUGUAGGCGGCCACGCAUCUCGCAGAGGGCCGUUGCAGAGGUUCGAGGAAGUGGGGCUCUUCGAUUAAGUUUGGCGCCUCAAAGCCACCUUAUCCAGUUUACCAAGGACCAACCACCGUAUCCAUGCUCCGUGCUACACAGAGUGAACGAGAUCCGUUUCGACGUCGUGCAGUGUGGCAACAGCUGGCAAUAGCACACGAGGUCGCGAUAAGAGAUAAAGGCGAGCUGGCAUAGGGCGAUUGACGGAAUGUGGCGUUGUCGGCUUAUUAACGUUGUGUGGUGAGAGCAGCCAGCACCGUCAGCAGGCGACGUUCGGUGGGCUAGCUUAGUAGGCCGCUGCUAUCAUCUGACUCGCAGGAAGGCAGAUUUAGCACAGGUGCGCCGGUUUUGCUGUGUCACUUUUGGAUGUAAGAAAACCGAUUGGAUGUUCUACUGCCAACCUACCAAACUGUUUUGCUGGUUCUACUCCCAUGCCCAGUGUGGGAUGCGAAAGCUGCUCUACCGCCUGAUGAUGGUGAAGCCGACCCAGGUCAGAACUGUCUGUGACGUUCCCGCCAAGCCGAUACCCACCGUGUCUCCGAAACGGUGCUAUGAGGAUGCAGUGUAUGCCCUCAAUAAUCUCCAGAGCAAUGAAGCUACUCUGAAAAAAUCGAUGCAGCACCCAUCCAAUGCAUUCCUCAAGUCAAGGCUAAUGCCUGAGCAUCUUCAGGCUGUUGGCCUAAAGGUAUCAGAUCUUGACGACCUCAAGGUAAUCCAUGUGGCUGGAACAAAAGGAAAAGGAUCAACAUGUGCUUUUGCUGAAAGUAUUCUCAGACAUCAUGGCUUUAAAACAGGUCUUUACACUUCUCCACAUCUCGUGGCAGUUCGAGAAAGGAUCAGAAUAAAUGGGAAGCCUCUGUCUGAAGCCGCUUUUGCAAAGUAUUUCUGGGAUGUUUACCACAACCUGAAAGCCAAGGAAGGACUAGACAUUCCAGCAUAUUUUCAGUUCUUGACUGUGAUGGCAUUCAAGGUAUUCAUCUUGGAAAAAGUUGAUGUGUUGGUGCUUGAAGUAGGUGUUGGUGGUGAAUACGAUUGUACAAACGUAAUAAGACAUCCUACUGUGGUUGGCAUCACAUCCUUGGGUUUAGAUCAUACACGUUUGCUAGGCUCAAGCCUGCAGGAAAUUGCUUGGCAAAAAAGUGGCAUUUUCAAGAAAGGCUGUCCAGCAUUCUCACUUCCCCAGCCAGAGGGAGCAUUUCAGGUGCUCCAGGAGAGGGCGCAGGAGAGGGGGUGUUCACUCAGCUUAGCACCUCCACUUUUGACAUAUGAGUGCGAGUUACCACUCCUUCGACUGGGAAUACCAGGGGAGCCACAGCAGGCGAAUGCGUCCCUUGCACUGCAGUUGUGCAAGACCUGGCUUUCAAAGCACUGUUCAUCUAGUUCUGCAGCAAGAAAACAAGUAGCAAGAGAUGCUGCUCAACGAAAGUGGCUGCAUGACCAGAAUUUGCCUUUUAUUGUACCUCCUUUCCCAAUAUCAAAGUUAAUGGCUAAAGGUCUUGAGCAGUGCCGAUGGCCUGGUAGGUGUCAAAUAGUUCCUGCUGGUCAAGGCAUGACACUGUACUUGGACGGGGCGCACACAGAGGAAUCAGUGCACUACUGUGUACGCUGGUGGCGGGAAGCUGCAGCAUCUGAACAACGUGCCUUAGGCCCAAGCGUUCAGGUUCAUCGUGUGCUUCUGUUCAACUGUAUGGGGGACCGCCGGCCCGAGGUUCUGCUCUCCUAUCUGGCAGAAGAACCCUUUCAUGUUGCCCUGUUCACUCCUAAUCGCCUCACUGUAAGCAAGAGCCCAUACUCAGACCAGAGUGACUUUACUGUGGAGAAGUGCACUGAGAUGGCUAGAUGCAAAUCCAACAUGCGCAUCUGGUGUCACCUACUGUCAAGCCUGCAAGAAGAAGAGAUGCUUGGUGUUGGCAGCCCUACAUCUCCACCAAGCCUCAAAGGGAACCCUGAAGACUCUUGCAUUGUCUUUCCCUGCGUCUCGGAUGUCAUGGCCUGGCUCCAGGAGCAGCAAAUGGCUGCCCAGCAAAUGACACCUCCUUGCCACAUACAGGUCUUGGUAACUGGAAGCCUUCAUCUAAUUGGUGGAGUAAUGUGCCUACUGGAUCCCAAACUUGCAUUGCUCUAGUAGUUAUGCAAAGCAGCAGGCAGUAACAAAUCUUUAGCUGUGUAAAAAUUUACACCCAUCACAUUUCCUUUGAGAGAACACAUUAUAUGAAUUGCAUUUUUUAUUUUUUUUACACAUCAGAGUUAUCAUAUAUCUUGUAUCAUGAAUAACGUGUCAGCCUCCAAAUUAUAUUACCAAUAAUAGUAUUACUGCAGUGUGUCAUUUUUAACGUAACAUUGUGCCUUUAUAAAACUGUAGUUCAGUUCAGAUGUUUAUAGCAUUUUUAGCAAUCUGCUAAGUACCAAGUAAUGAUGCCAUUAAUAUGCACAGCCUGACACAAUUAUUAAAUGGUUCACUUGUACUAUUAAGCAGCUGCAGUGUUCUUAAAGUUCAUCCUUCCAGAGCAAGGUAUGGGACCUGGGCAAGUCAAUGAUUCUGUGACGUCGCACAAAGCAAGCACUUUUCUUUCUUUGUAUCUGUUCACCUCAGAUUGUCAAGCUGUAAAGUCAGCAUUAUUAUCUUGCUAAUGUGAACUUGACUGUCCUUUGGUUUUACAAUGUGCAACAAAAGUUCCAAAGGUGUCUAUGCCAUGUUUAAACAUGUUUAAAUUUUGCAGGUUGUUCAAGGAUUCAUUUACCAAAAGGGAACACAAGUUUUGUUGAAUUGCAGAAAUAUUGAAAUGCAUUCUUAAUGUCUUUAGGCUCUGAAGCAAAUGUGUUCUGAAGGUUGUUUUGAUAGUGUAGUGCAGUCACAGUGCAGCUAAUAAUCAUCUUACCAGACUCUAUUUGAAAUUUGCAUGGUAAGAAACAUCAGAUUAAGGCUAUGCUUGGUCUCUCUUAAUGCACAUUGUACAGUUUUUACUAUUUUAAACAUUUUAUAAAACACUGUCAUGCAUCCUGAUGUAGCUGCCUACUAAUGGGGACACUAUUUGAAAUUUGCAUGGUAAGAAACAUCAGAUUAAGGCCAUGUUUGGUCUCUCUUAAUGCACAUUAUACAGUUUUUACUAUUUUAAACAUUUUAUAAAACACUGUCAUGCAUCCUGAUGCAGCUGCCUACUAAUGGGAUCUAAGAAGUGUAGCAAAACUGCAGUAAUUGUGUAUUAUGGCAUUUAGAAGUUCUUAAAACUCAGAAACAUGAUCCUCAACAAAGAAAAAUCAUUUUUGAAACCAGCAAACUAAGCUAAAGCUCUUGUUCAUAGCAUAUAAGCUUGCUGUAAAAGUGCUGCAAGUUGGUAGGGCAGCAUGGUUAGAAUGCAGAGCCUGGAAAUUGGGAGUGUGCCAUGGGGUUUUUUUUUUUUACUGCUAGUAGUUAUGCCGUAAAUUGUGAAGAUAAGGAAAAGCUAAGUGAAUUUUGGGGAGACAGGAGUUCACUUACUUCCUUGAACGCAAAAAUUUGCACCUCGGCUGACAUGUUCCAAUAUCGCCAGGUGUUAGUAGGCAACUAUCGGCAAAAACAAUGGCACAGAAGGUUUUUAAAGCCAAAUAUGCUGAAAUAUGAGGAAAAUAACUAUAUACAGCAGUGCUGAUAAGGUCACUCACAUGUGGCUUGCCAGUGCUAUGUGAAAUAAAUGCUGUGUUUCAGAGCUCUUAUUGGGUGGGUCAGCUUGCUGGGAAAUAUGUGAAAGCAUUUGGCAUCGAUCUCCUUGGCUGUAUUACUUUGCAGAAAGAAUACGGGUCAUGCUAUGCAUAUGCCACACUAUCAUUUGUUUGGCUGUGCAACUUUUACAUGCUUGAUUGGGUCUCAUUUUGUAUUGAUAGCUACAGGUGCUGUUUAAAAGUUUGUUUGGUUACACCUGUAUGCCUUGAAUUGUGUUGCUAAAUAAAUGCAUUUGUCAAAGAUA
rnacentral:misc_RNA from 1 species